GAACAACUCGGGCUGCCCAACUCGAGGUCCUGUGCCCCUGGUCUAACAGCACAGCCACUCAUUUGAGUUUCGGAUCCCAGUUCCUACCCACUCGCCCACCGCUGCGGCCCCCAGGUCCCCGGUGGACACCCAAAAGUCGGGCGGGGACCGCCCUAAGUGCCCUAUGCCACAGAGUAUAGCGUCUGAGCUCUGGCGUGGCCGGCCGCUUUCCACCUGGCCUGCGCUUCAGCCUGUCUGCCUUCUCUUGCAGGACAGAUCCGGAGAGGGUGGAAGGUCCAGGUUUUUGCGGCAAUUAAUGAUACUAGGACCUGUGCGCAGGCUCUGUUUGCUUCCGGAAGGAGUGAGAAGACAGAAUGCAUCCCGAAGCCCUAGGCGCUCAUGGGAAUCUCUGCUGCCGCGGGGUCUGACGAAGGCUGGACCGAGGAUGCCGCAUCUCCGGCCCUGCUGGGUGUCAAGUCCCUCCGGGCCAUCCCUCUCUUGGGGUAACCCAUUCUUGGAUUGCCAGUGGACAAUUUAAAAAAAAAAC
rnacentral:lncRNA from 1 species